rnacentral:rRNA from 1 species
GAUGAACGCUAGCUACAGGCUUAACACAUGCAAGUCGAGGGGAAACGAUGAGAGAGCUUGCUCUCUUAGUCGUCGACCGGCGCACGGGUGAGUAACGCGUAUCCAACCUGCCUCUGACCAAGGGAUAACCCGUCGAAAGUCGGACUAAUACCUUAUGCAGUCGUCGGAAGUCAUCUGAUGACGACGAAAGGUUUCAUCGGUGAGAGAUGGGGAUGCGUCUGAUUAGCUUGUUGGCGGGGUAACGGCCCACCAAGGCGACGAUCAGUAGGGGUUCUGAGAGGAAGGUCCCCCACAUUGGAACUGAGACACGGUCCAAACUCCUACGGGAGGCAGCAGUGAGGAAUAUUGGUCAAUGGGCGUAAGCCUGAACCAGCCAAGUAGCGUGCAGGAUGACGGCCCUAUGGGUUGUAAACUGCUUUUAUGCGGGGAUAAAGUGAGGGACGUGUCCUUCAUUGCAGGUACCGCAUGAAUAAGGACCGGCUAAUUCCGUG